rnacentral:rRNA from 1 species
UACGUAGGGUGCAAGCGUUAAUCGGAAUUACUGGGCGUAAAGGGCGCGUAGGCGGCGCAACAAGUCACUUGUGAAAUCUCCGGGCUUAACCCGGAGCGGCCAAGUGAUACUGUCGUGCUAGAGUGCGGAAGGGGCUACUGGAAUUCUCGGUGUAGCGGUGAAAUGCGUAGAUAUCGAGAGGAACACCUGCGGCGAAGGCGGGUAGCUGGGCCGACACUGACGCUGAUGCGCGAAAGCCAGGGGAGCGAACGGG